AGUGAACGCUGGCGGUAGGCCUAACACAUGCAAGUCGAACGGCAGCACAGUAAGAGCUUGCUCUUACGGGUGGCGAGUGGCGGACGGGUGAGGAAUACAUCGGAAUCUACUUUUUCGUGGGGGAUAACGUAGGGAAACUUACGCUAAUACCGCAUACGACCUACGGGUGAAAGCAGGGGAUCUUCGGACCUUGCGCGAUUGAAUGAGCCGAUGUCGGAUUAGCUAGUUGGCGGGGUAAAGGCCCACCAAGGCGACGAUCCGUAGCUGGUCUGAGAGGAUGAUCAGCCACACUGGAACUGAGACACGGUCCAGACUCCUACGGGAGGCAGCAGUGGGGAAUAUUGGACAAUGGGCGCAAGCCUGAUCCCGCCAUACCGCGUGGGUGGAGAAGGCCUUCGGGUUGUAAAGCCCUUUUGUUGGGAAAGAAAAGCAGCAGGUUAAUACCCCGCUGUUCUGACGGUACCCAAAGAAUAAGCACCGGCUAACUUCGUG
rnacentral:rRNA from 1 species